rnacentral:tRNA from 1 species
CUCAAAGAAGGGAGAGUCUAACUCCCGCCCCUGGCCCCCAAAGCCAGCAUUCUAAAUUUAACUAUUCUUUGC